CUGCCCUUAGUUGCCACUCUUCGGAGGGCACUCUAAGGGGACCGCCGGCGAUAAGCCGAGGAAGGUGGGGAUGACGUCAGGUCAGUAUGCCCUUUAUGCCCGGGGCUACACAGGCGCUACAGUGGCCAGGACAAUGGGAAGCGACCCAGUAAUGGGGAGCAAAUCCCUAAACCUGGUCAUGGUGCAGAUUGAGGGCUGAAACUCGCCCUCAUGAAGCCGGAAUCGGUAGUAAUGGCGGAUCAGCUAAGCCGCCGUGAAUACGUUCUCGGGCCUU
rnacentral:rRNA from 1 species